rnacentral:rRNA from 1 species
GAUGAACGCUGGCGGCGUGCCUAAUACAUGCAAGUCGAGCGAACAGACGAGGAGCUUGCUCCUCUGACGUUAGCGGCGGACGGGUGAGUAACACGUGGAUAACCUACCUAUAAGACUGGGAUAACUUCGGGAAACCGGAGCUAAUACCGGAUAAUAUAUUGAACCGCAUGGUUCAAUAGUGAAAGACGGUUUUGCUGUCACUUAUAGAUGGAUCCGCGCCGCAUUAGCUAGUUGGUAAGGUAACGGCUUACCAAGGCAACGAUGCGUAGCCGACCUGAGAGGGUGCUCGGCCACACUGGAACUGUGACACGGUCCAGACUCCUACGGGAGGCAGCAGUAGGGAAUCUUCCGCCAUGGGCGAAAGCCUGACGGAGCAACGCCGCGUGAGUGAUGAAGGUCUUCGGAUCGUAAAACUCUGUUAUUAGGGAAGAACAAAUGUGUAAGUAACUAUGCACGUCUUGACGGUACCUAAUCAGAAAGCCACGGCUAACUACGUG